rnacentral:rRNA from 1 species
AGUGAACGCUGGCGGUAGGCCUAACACAUGCAAGUCGAACGGCAGCACAGAGGAGCUUGCUCCUUGGGUGGCGAGUGGCGGACGGGUGAGGAAUACAUCGGAAUCUACUCUGUCGUGGGGGAUAACGUAGGGAAACUUACGCUAAUACCGCAUACGACCUACGGGUGAAAGCAGGGGACCUUCGGGCCUUGCGCGAUUGAAUGAACCGAUGUCGGAUUAGCUAGUUGGCGGGGUAAAGGCCCACCACGGCGACGAUCCGUAGCUGGUCUGAGAGGAUGAUCAGCCACACUUGAACUGGGACACGGUCCAGACUCCUACGGGAGGCAGCAGUGGGGAAUCUUGGACAAUGGGCGCAAGCCUGAUCCAGCCAUACCGCGUGGGUGAAGAAGGCCUUCGGGUUGUAAAGCCCUUUUGUUGGGAAUGAAAUCCAGCUGGCUAAUACCCGGUUGGGAUGACGGUACCCAAAGAAUAAGCACCGGCUAACUUCGUGCCAGCCGCCGCAGUAA